rnacentral:rRNA from 1 species
GAACAUCUCAGUUCAGAUUGCAGGCUGCAACUCGCCUGCAUGAAGUCGGAAUUGCUAGUAAUCGUAGGUCAGCAUACUACGGUGAAUACGUUCCCGGGCCUUGUACACACCGCCCGUCAAACCAUGAGAGUUGGUAACACCCGAAGUCGGUAGUCUAACCGCAAGGAGGACGCCGCCGAAGGUGGGGUUGAUGAUUAGGGUUAAGUCGUAACAAGGUACC